GCAAGCGUUAAUCGGAAUUACUGGGCGUAAAGCGCACGCAGGCGGUCUGUCAAGUCGGAUGUGAAAUCCCCGGGCUCAACCUGGGAACUGCAUUCGAAACUGGCAGGCUAGAGUCUUGUAGAGGGGGGGAGAAUUCCAGGUGUAGCGGUGAAAUGCGUAGAGAUCUGGAGGAAUACCGGUGGCGAAGGCGGCCCCCUGGACAAAGACUGACGCUCAGGUGCGAAAGCGUGGGGAGCAAACAGGAUUAGAUACCCUGGUAGUCCACGCUGUAAACGAUGUCGAUUUGGAGGUUGUGCCCUUGAGGCGUGGCUUCCGGAGCUAACGCGUUAAAUCGACCGCCUGGGGAGUACGGCCGCAAGGUUAAAACUCAAAUGAAUUGACGGGGGCCCGCACAAGCGGUGGAGCAUGUGGUUUAAUUCGAUGCAACGCGAAGAACCUUACCUGGUCUUGACAUCCACA
rnacentral:rRNA from 1 species